UAAAACUUUAGUUAAAAAAUUAAAACUUUAGUUUUAGUUUUGAAAGUUGUUACUAAUAAAUCCUUAAACUUUCAAUUUUGACUCAAAUUCCUAAAAUGUCUAAUAAAUCUAUAUGCUUCAAUUUAUUAUAGAAAUAUUAGAAAUGUUUAAAAUUUGGAUAUUUUAGAAGACCAAAAAAAAAGUUUUGAGUCUAAUUGAACUUUCUUUUUGGAAGUGUCUAAUUAAACCUUAAAUUUUAAAUUUUAUAAUUAAUAGACAAAUAUGUAACAUAUCAUACCUAUUAAACAUCAAGUUAAAUUUCAUGUCUAAUAUAACAUUUUCAAAUAUGUAAUAGACUUGAUGCAUAAUUGAUAUUUUUAAAAUCGAUUAGACACAAAAAUCAUGAAUUCAUGGACCUACAUUUUUAAAGUUAGGAAUUAUAUACAAAUACAAAUCUAGAAGUUUAUUGCAUUGUCUGACAGCAACGACCGUCCGUCCGUCUAUGGUUGCUGCCAUCGUCACCACCGCUAGCGCCAUUGUCGUCGGAAUUGAUAUUUUGGGUUGGAUUAGAAGGUUUAAAGUUGUUCAUUAGAGUUAGAGGUUGAUUUGGUGAUAUAGUUGUUGGAUCGUGUUGAUUUUGAAGUUUUGAAGUAGUUUUGGAUCAAAUCACGUAUUGGGUAAGUUGUUUGGAGACAUUCGGGUUAAGUUCUGAUUGAAAUUGUGCCUUAAAUGUUGGAUUUAUUUUCGGUUUAUGUUUUUGAAUUUAUUCAGGAUUCAAGGUUUUACGAAGUUAAAUUGUUAGCUAUUUGGACUUAAUUCUAAGGUAAGUGGUUACUACUGGUUCGCCCUUGAACUAGACAGUCUAAUUAAGUUGAUGUUAAGAUUGUGUAUACACAUGAAAUCAUGAUAUUAUUGUGAUGGAAUGAUUUUCUAAUGGAUGGACGAUCGUGGGUGUUCCGGAAACCUAUAAAUUAUGCUACUAAGAUCAUAAUAACAUGUUUAUGGUUUGAUAUAAAAUUUGGAUGUUGUAUGUUGCAUGUUGGACUGAGGAUGACUAUUAGCACUAUUAUCGGGCAGUGUACAUCUUAUGGUUGUGAACCUCGGGUUCACCAUUUAUGACCGAUUCGGUGUCCCUAAAGGAUCAUCACUAUUGCUAUGAUUUUUGUUCCUUCAAGUUCACUAGACUGCCAUGAUAUGUGUUCCUUCGGGUUCACUAGACUGCCAUGAUAUGUGUUCCUUCGGGUUCCCUAGACUGCUAUUAUUUGUGUUCCUUCAGAAUCACUAGAUUGCCAUGAUUUGUGUUCCUUCAGGACCACUGGAUCUCCAUGAUUUGUUCCUAUGGGAUCACCACGACUACCAUGUUAUAAAAUGUACACCGAUGCCCAAAUAAGAAGGCUAACAAAUUCAGUUAGUGGGCCCAGUAGUGGGUCACUUAUUUCAUACUCACCAUUUCUUAUGAUAUGUUUUUCAGAUAAGGGCAAGGACGGACCGACGAAUGACAAGAAGAAUCCGUAUUCGUGCUAUUGGGACUAGGCAGAAGCUUCCACUCACAUUUUUCAUGUUUGGAACGAGUCUUGGUAUUUGAAAUUCUAGAACUUUUUAUUUUAAACUUUCAAGUUCUUCAAUAUUUUUCAGUUUUAAAUUUAUGUGUUUAGGGGGACCAGAAUAAAUAUUUUGAGUUGUCUUAGUGGAAUUUAAUAUUAUUUGACAUAUGAGAUCAUUUUAUUUUUAUUAGAGCAAUGGGUUAAAAGUUUUAUCUAAGGUUUACAUGUUGAAAGUUAAACAUGUUUUAUUUAACUAGAUAAGUUACAAUUGAAUUUAAGGAUGUGGGUUAAUUAAUCAUAUUAAUUUAUGAGAGGUUAUAGAUGAAUUAAUUUAUGAGAGGUUAUAGAUGAAUUAAUUUAUGAGAGUUGAAAACAUUAAAAGAUGAGAGUUAAUUAAUUAUGUUAACAUAAGAGUUAAUUUAGUAGAGUUUCACAUAAAUUAAGUGUAUGAUUUUAAUUGUUCCAUAUAUAUUUAAUUAGAGUAUGAGUUAUGUAUUUAAAUUUACCCAUGACAAUCCUAUAAAUAGAAUUGACAUUGACAUUGUUGAUGUAUCCAAGUGUGUAGAGAAGAAUACAGAAAGAGAGUUCAAUCAAAAGUGUGAACCAAGUUUGAAGAGUCUUUCAAGUAAAAGUGUUUUUGAUUCCUCUCAAAUAAUCGUUUGUUGGUUAUUUAUUUGUGAGUGUCCAUCACAGGCUUCCAACAAAGUGGUAUCAGAGCUUGAGUUUGAAAAACAAUAAUUGUUUUGCAAAUGACAAAUAACAAUUUGGUUCCCUUCCAAGUGCCUUGACUUAUGAAAGAAAAUUGUAGCACUUGGUGUAUUUGUAUGAAAGCUCUACUUGGUUCACAAGAUGUAUGGGAUAUUAUCAAUAAUGGUUAUGAAGAACCAAAAAGUGAUGUGACUUUAAAUCAAGCUCAACGAGAAGCUUUACAAAAUACAAGAAAAAAAGAUCAAAAGGCUCUCACCAUCAUUCAUCAAGCCAUCAAUGAUCCAAAUUUUGAGAAGAUUUUUGGAGCAACUACUGCACAUCAGACAUGACAAAUUUUGGAGAAUACAUAUAAAGGAGUAGAUCGAGUCAAGAAGGUUUGCCUCCAAAAUUGAGAGGUGAUUAUGAAUCACUACAUAUGAAGGAAUCUGAAUUGAUUUCAGAUUAUACCUCAAGAUUGCUAGCAGUAGUAAAUGAAAUAAAAAUAUAUGGUGAGACAGAUAAAUGAUGAGCAAGUGGUAGAAAAGAUACUUCGCUCAUUGGCUGAAAAAUUGAAUUUCAUCAUUGUAGCUAUUGAAAAAUCAAAAUGAGUACAAUGUCCAUUGAUUAACUUAUGGGUUUCUUACAAGCCCAUGAAGAGAAGCUUCUCAAGAAGAACAAACAAACAACUAAACAACUUUUUCAGUGAAAGUUACAGUUGGGAGAUAAAGAAGAUAGCCAAGAAAAAGGAAAUCGAGGUCGAAGACGUGGUAACAAUCGUGGACGUGGUGAUUUCAUAGGUUGAGGUGAGGAAAUUAUGGUCAAAGAAAAUUUGAUGAGAGUAAUUCAAACUCUAAUUCAUCAAGAGGUCGUGAAAGACAAAAGUAAAUUAUGCUGAAAAAGAUGAAGAAAGCGGUGAGUCAUCUUUGCUUCUAGCAUGCAAAGAUGAAGAAACAUGUGAAAAUAAUGCAUGGUAUCUUGAUAGCAGUGCAAACAAUUACAUGUGUAGAUGUAAGUCAAUGUUUGUUGAACUUGAUGAAUCAGUUGGUGGUAAUAUCAUAUUUGGUGAUGCCACAAAAUUUUUUGUCAAAUGAAAAGGUAAGAUUUUGAUCAAACUUGAAGAAUGGGAAGCAUGAGUUUAUCUCUAAUGUUUAUUAUGUGCCUGCUAUGAAGAACAAUAUUUUGAGUUUGGGACAACUCUUAGAGAAAGGCUAUAAUAUUUUGUUGAAGAAUUAUAAUAUUUCGUUAAGGGAUAAUUGUGAUAAUAUGAUUGCUUAAGUGCAAAUGAUGAAGAAUAGAAUGUCUUUAUUAAAUAUUCAAACUGAUGUUACUAAAUGUUUGAAGUCAUGUUUGAAAGAUCCAUCUUGGAUUUGACACUUGAGACUUGGGCAUUUAAAUUUUGAUGGCUUGAGACUAUUAGCAAGGUAGAAAACAUGGUUAAGUACUGCCAUAUGUCAAACAUCCAGAUCAAUUUUGUGAAGGUUGUCUUUAUGACAGGUAAGUAAAGAAGAGUUUUCCACAAGAAUCUUCUUCAAUAGCAAGGAGACUAACUCUAGUUUACACU